rnacentral:rRNA from 1 species
UCAGGGAGAAGUCUCUUCGGGGAUGAUUAAACCGGCGCACGGGUGAGUAACACGUGAGUGACCUGCCUUUUAGACUGGAACAACUUACCGAAAGGUGAGCUAAUGCCGGAUGAGUUAUAUAAGUGCAUGUUUAUAUAGGAAAAGUUGGGGAGACCUGACGCUGAAAGAUGGACUCGCGUCCCAUUAGCUAGUUGGUAGGGUAAUGGCCUACCAAGGCGACGAUGGGUAGCCGGCCUGAGAGGGUGGCCGGCCACACUGGGACUGAGACACGGCCCAGACUCCUACGGGAGGCAGCAGUGGGGAAUUUUGCGCAAUGCUCGUAAGAGUGACGCAGCGACGCCGCGUGAAUGACGAAGGCCUUCGGGUCGUAAAGUUCUUUCGACAGGGAAGAAAAUGCCUAUAAGUAACUGUGUAUGUAUUGACGGUACCUGUAUAAGCAGCCCCGGCUAACUCCGUGCCAGCAGCCGCGGUAAUACGGAGGGGGCGAGCGUUGUUCGGAGUGACUGGGCGUAAAGAGCACGUAGGCGGUGUUGUAAGUCAUUAGUCAAAGACUAGAGCUCAACUUUAGUAAGGCUAGUGAUACUAUAAUACUAGAGUAUCAGAGAGGAUUGCAGAAUUCCUGGUGUAGCGGUGAAAUGCGUAGAUAUCAGGAGGAAUACCGUUAGCGAAGGCGGCAAUCUGGCUGGAAACUGACGCUGAGGUGCGAAAGCGUGGGUAGCAAACA